AUGAAAUUCCGUAUUGUUUAUCGUACAUGCAACCGAUUUCAUAUGUAUUCAUAAUCAAUAUGCACAUGAGCCGAUUAGCAAGAACACAAUCAAUCAUGUAACAAAUAGCCCUAGAUCAUCAUGCAAGAAACAUCAUCAAACAUGAAAUCAUAUAACAACAAACACUUAAAACACUAACCGGCUUAGGGAUGAAACCCGUGAGGUCUCGAGUCCAAUUGGUGUUGUCGCCGGCUUCAAGAGGAAACGAGAGAGAGAAGGAGUUCUAGGGUUUGGUAUAACUUGUGUGUUUUUGCAACAAAUGAGAGAAGGUUACUAAUUACCCUAGUGUUAUGCGUAUACAUGAAAUGGGCCGGACCCAUCAUUGGGUUGCCUCUUGGUCUCGAGUCGGCCAAACAUACAUGGGCCGAUUAUUGGGUUUGUGUAAUUGGAUCAUGCAACCAUAUAAACAUAGCAUAUCCUUCACUUAA
rnacentral:lncRNA from 1 species